rnacentral:rRNA from 1 species
AUUAACCUACGGGGGGCAGCAGUGGGGAAUAUUGGGCAAUGGGCGCAAGCCUGACCCAGCAACGCCGCGUGAAGGAAGAAGGCUUUCGGGUUGUAAACUUCUUUUGUCAGGGACGAAGCAAGUGACGGUACCUGACGAAUAAGCCACGGCUAACUACGUGCCAGCAGCCGCGGUAAUACGUAGGUGGCAAGCGUUAUCCGGAUUUACUGGGUGUAAAGGGCGUGUAGGCGGGGAAGAAAGUGAGAUGUGAAAA